rnacentral:rRNA from 1 species
UUUUCUGCCACCGAAUACAUUAGCAUGGGAUAAUGGAAUAGGACCCUGUCCUCCUAUUUUCAGUUGGUUUUGGCAGCGCGAGGACUAGGGUAAUGAUUAAUAGGGAUAGUUGGGGGCAUUAAUAUUUAAUUGUCAGAGGUGAAAUUCUUGGAUUUAUGAAAGAUUAACUUCUGCGAAAGCAUCUGCCAAGGAUGUUUUCAUUAAUCAAGAACGAAAGUUAGGGGAUCGAAGACGAUCAGAUACCGUCGUAGUCUUAACCAUAAACGAUGCCGACCAGCGAUUAGGAGACGUUGAAUACAAAACACCACCAUCGGUGCGGUCGUCCUUGGCGUCGGUCUUUCGGGGCCGGCGCGGGGACGGCUUAGCCCGGUGGCACCGGUGAAUGACUCCCCUACCAGCUUGUGAGA